rnacentral:rRNA from 1 species
AUUGAACGCUGGCGGCAGGCCUAACACAUGCAAGUCGAGCGGAUGAACGUAGCUUACUUCUGGAUUCAGCGGCGGACGGGUGUAUAGGGCCUAGGAAUCUGCCCGCGUGUGUAGGAUAACGUACGCAAACGGGUGCUAAUACCGCAUGCGUCCUGAUGCCGUAUGAGGGGGAUCAUCGGACCUCUCGCUAUCACAUGAGCCUAGGUCGGAUUAGCUAGUUGGUGGGGUAAAGGCUUAUCGAGGAGACGAUCCGUAACUGGUCUGAGAGGAUGAUCAGACACACUGGAACUGGGACGCGGUCCAGACUACUGCGAGAGGCAGCAGUGGGGAAUACCUGACAGUGGGAGCAAGCCUGAUCCAGGCACAACGCGUGUGUGAAGAAGGUCGUCGGGUUGUAAAGCACUUUAGGUCGGGGGGAAGUGCAGUACGUUUAUACCGGGCUGUUUUGACGGUACCAACAGAAUAAGCACCGGCUAACUACGUG